UUCCCUUCUCCCAGGCGUUAAUGACUUCUAAGGACAACGCUGUUCUGCAUGACCACACUGGUAUUGCAUCCUCAUCUGAAAUGUAACUAUACAUCUGGUUACUCCCCAAACAGUUCACUUGUAGACGCUCCCAUGAGGUAAGUCAGGCUUAGAUAGCUGGAGCAAAGCUGGGAGUCACGGUGACACCAACGGCUGCUGGCGAGUGCAGAAGGUGCUCAGCCUCUGAAUAUUUCAGCACGUUCAUCUGGGCAUUCUGAAGAUGAAGAAACUUUCAAUAAUUUAUGAUCCUCUCGGCGAAAAAAUGGUUACUGAAGCACACAAAAUACUGUGAACAGAUCAAUGCAACAUCUUGUUGUCUUCUUACCACCUGUCUUCUGGUGCUGCCGGAGCUGCUGGCUGUGUCCCGCUCACCACAAGGCCAGCAGAAACAACAGGAAGAAAAUUUAACAGAAGCAGUUCCAUUCCCUGCCCCAUCAGGAGUGAUAAACAAAUCCAGAGAGAUGUGCCAAGCUCACCUUCAGCUGACAGCCCUGAGUGACCAGAAUUCUGAGCUGACAAGGACAUAA
rnacentral:lncRNA from 1 species